GAUGUUUUUGCAAUCAAAGCGGUUAUGAAAAACAAAAACAAAAUUAUUUGACCGAAUGUGCAUUUUGUUGAUUGGAAAAGUGUGUGGCUCAAAUGAGCAAUACAAAGGAAGCAAUUCCUGAAAAGAGGUAAUUGCGCUCAAAAGGAAAAAUCUAUCCUAAUGGCAAUGUGAAACUCGUGAUCUCAUCGAGUUCCAACUCGGUUACACCCCAUAUGUCCUCAGACUCUCCGCGCUUUCUGCUUUCUGAACAAGACAAUUCUGACUGAUCCCUACCGGGUAUUAUCCAUGAUGCUUUAACCGAAGCGCAAACGAUCAUGCUAGACGCAGUUGUUCGUUUCAAUCCCUCUUUUGCCUGGACCGCCCUUUCGGGUUUUCAGUCCACCGGGAUACC
rnacentral:lncRNA from 1 species